CAAUCUUAACGAUGGAUGUCUUGGUUCCUAUAGCGAUGAAGGUCGCAGAUAAAUGCGUACAUGUGACACGUAAUGUGAUGUAAACACAUUAAAAACGUGAAUCAUCUAUAUGGCUGAAUGUAGUUAGUGUGUAAAAUGACAAAAACACACACACAUCAUCAAAAUACC
rnacentral:rRNA from 1 species